rnacentral:rRNA from 2 species
UUAAGCGACUAAGCGUACACGGUGGAUGCCCUGGCAGUCAGAGGCGAUGAAGGACGUGCUAAUCUGCGAAAAGCGCCGGCGAGGUGAUAUGAACCUUUGACCCGGCGAUGUCCGAAUGGGGAAACCCAGUGUGUUCCGACACACUAUCGUUAACUGAAUACAUAGGUUAACGAGGCGAACCGGGGGAACUGAAACAUCUAAGUACCCCGAGGAAAAGAAAUCAACCGAGAUUCCCCCAGUAGCGGCGAGCGAACGGGGAGCAGCCCGGAGUCUGAAUCAGCUUGUGUGUUAGUGGAACGGUCUGGAAAGUCCGACGGUACAGGGUGAUAGUCCCGUACACGAAAAUGCACAGGUUGUGAACUCGAAGAGUAGGGCGGGACACGUGGUAUCCUGUCUGAAUAUGGGGGGACCAUCCUCCAAGGCUAAAUACUCCUGACUGACCGAUAGUGAACCAGUACCGUGAGGGAAAGGCGAAAAGAACCCCGGCGAGGGGAGUGAAAAAGAACCUGAAACCGUGUACGUACAAGCAGUGGGAGCACCUUCGGGUGUGACUGCGUACCUUUUGUAUAAUGGGUCAGCGACUUAUAUUCUGUAGCAAGGUUAACCGUAUAGGGGAGCCGAAGGGAAACCGAGUCUUAACUGGGCGUUAAGUUGCAGGGUAUAGACCCGAAACCCGGUGAUCUAGCCAUGGGCAGGUUGAAGGUUGGGUAACACUAACUGGAGGACCGAACCGACUAAUGUUGAAAAAUUAGCGGAUGACCUGUGGCUGGGGGUGAAAGGCCAAUCAAACCGGGAGAUAGCUGGUUCUCCCCGAAAGCUAUUUAGGUAGCGCCUCGUGAACUCAUCUUCGGGGGUAGAGCACUGUUUCGGCUAGGGGGCCAUCCCGGCUUACCAACCCGAUGCAAACUACGAAUACCGAAGAAUGUUAUCACGGGAGACACACGGCGGGUGCUAACGUCCGUCGUGAAGAGGGAAACAACCCAGACCGCCAGCUAAGGUCCCAAAGUCAUGGUUAAGUGGGAAACGAUGUGGGAAGGCACAGACAGCCAGGAUGUUGGCUUAGAAGCAGCCAUCAUUUAAAGAAAGCGUAAUAGCUCACUGGUCGAGUCGGCCUGCGCGGAAGAUGUAACGGGGCUAAACCAUGCACCGAAGCUGCGGCAGCGACACUAUGUGUUGUUGGGUAGGGGAGCGUUCUGUAAGCCGUUGAAGGUGUGCUGUGAGGCAUGCUGGAGGUAUCAGAAGUGCGAAUGCUGACAUAAGUAACGAUAAAGCGGGUGAAAAGCCCGCUCGCCGGAAGACCAAGGGUUCCUGUCCAACGUUAAUCGGGGCAGGGUGAGUCGACCCCUAAGGCGAGGCCGAAAGGCGUAGUCGAUGGGAAACAGGUUAAUAUUCCUGUACUUGGUGUUACUGCGAAGGGGGGACGGAGAAGGCUAUGUCAGCCGGGCGACGGUUGUCCCGGUUUAAGCAUGUAGGCGGAGGUUCCAGGUAAAUCCGGUACCUUGUUAACGCUGAGGUGUGAUGACGAGGCACUACGGUGCUGAAGUGAUAAAUGCCCUGCUUCCAGGAAAAGCCUCUAAGCAUCAGGUAACACGAAAUCGUACCCCAAACCGACACAGGUGGUCAGGUAGAGAAUACCAAGGCGCUUGAGAGAACUCGGGUGAAGGAACUAGGCAAAAUGGUGCCGUAACUUCGGGAGAAGGCACGCUGAUAUGUAGGUGAAGUCCCUGCGGACGGAGCUGAAAUCAGUCGAAGAUACCAGCUGGCUGCAACUGUUUAUUAAAAACACAGCACUGUGCAAACACGAAAGUGGACGUAUACGGUGUGACGCCUGCCCGGUGCCGGAAGGUUAAUUGAUGGGGUUAGCGGCAACGCGAAGCUCUUGAUCGAAGCCCCGGUAAACGGCGGCCGUAACUAUAACGGUCCUAAGGUAGCGAAAUUCCUUGUCGGGUAAGUUCCGACCUGCACGAAUGGCGUAAUGAUGGCCAGGCUGUCUCCACCCGAGACUCAGUGAAAUUGAACUCGCUGUGAAGAUGCAGUGUACCCGCGGCAAGACGGAAAGACCCCGUGAACCUUUACUAUAGCUUGACACUGAACACUGGUCCUUGAUGUGUAGGAUAGGUGGGAGGCUUUGAAGCGUGGACGCCAGUCUGCGUGGAGCCAUCCUUGAAAUACCACCCUUUAAUGGCUGGUGUUCUAACGUAGACCCGUGAUCCGGGUUGCGGACAGUGUCUGGUGGGUAGUUUGACUGGGGCGGUCUCCUCCCAAAGAGUAACGGAGGAGCACGAAGGUUGGCUAAUCCUGGUCGGACAUCAGGAGGUUAGUGCAAUGGCAUAAGCCAGCUUGACUGCGAGCGUGACGGCGCGAGCAGGUGCGAAAGCAGGUCAUAGUGAUCCGGUGGUUCUGAAUGGAAGGGCCAUCGCUCAACGGAUAAAAGGUACUCCGGGGAUAACAGGCUGAUACCGCCCAAGAGUUCAUAUCGACGGCGGUGUUUGGCACCUCGAUGUCGGCUCAUCACAUCCUGGGGCUGAAGUAGGUCCCAAGGGUAUGGCUGUUCGCCAUUUAAAGUGGUACGCGAGCUGGGUUUAGAACGUCGUGAGACAGUUCGGUCCCUAUCUGCCGUGGGCGCUGGAGAAUUGAGGGGGGCUGCUCCUAGUACGAGAGGACCGGAGUGGACGCAUCACUGGUGUUCGGGUUGUCAUGCCAAUGGCACUGCCCGGUAGCUAAAUGCGGAAGAGAUAAGUGCUGAAAGCAUCUAAGCACGAAACUUGCCCCGAGAUGAGUUCUCCCUGAGACCUUGAGUCUCCUGAAGGAACGUUGAAGACGACGACGUUGAUAGGUCGGGUGUGUAAGCGCAGCGAUGCGUUGAGCUAACCGAUACUAAUGAACCGUGAGGCUUAACCUU